UCAAACUGUCAAACUUGCAUGAAACUGCUCAAACACAAACAGUGUUUUUUUUUUGGUAACAGUGAUAGAUGUGUGUUUUCUUCUAAUUCAAAAUAAAAUGACUGAAAAAUAAGUCAUAAGGAAUACUCGAAUUCUUGACUGAGGAAAAAGAUGAUAUUCAGCAUCAGCAAUCAGCAUUUCGAAAAAUAUGAAAUAAGAUGUUUUCGAUUCUAUAAAUACUUUCUUUUUUAUUUAAAAAUUUCAAGGUUAUGUCUUAUGGCUACGAAGGUACGACAACGCUUAAGCCUAUGGCGGUCGAGACUUGGCCUACCACCAAAUGUCAGAAUUUGGUGACCGAAUUUAAUCAUCAAUAUGACGACUAAAUUUAUGGACACCAUGAACUAACAGGAAAUAACCUUGCUGGAAUGGAUUUGGAGGAACAGAUUGAAUUAGUUUUCAAUAACAAUGAUGUAUCAAUCAAUGGAAUAAAACUUUCACUUAUGAAGCUGCAGGCUUAGCGGCUUAGCUGCAGCAACUAAUAAGGGAAGUAGGAAACUGGGAAACUGAAUACUGUGAGUUUACCAGUUACCUCCCACAAACUUCCAUCGGCUGAAACUAUUGUGAAACCACAGCUGAAGUUCAAAAACAGAAUAAGUAAUUAUCUUGGGAUAUUUGUUCUCAAAAUAAAAAAUUUACCUCAUUCCUUGAAACCAUUGGCAAUAUUAUUUCUGGAGUUGGACGAAUUGGGAGAUGACAAUGAGUUGGACCACCCUUACAAAUUUGAGUUAGAAUCUUUACACCAGAUCCAAAGUUCUUGACUGCACUUGAUUUAUUGCCUUCAUUUCCAAAUCUAGAAACCUCUUUAUUGAUGAGAGACACUGAAGAUGGUUUAAAGUCUUUUUGAAGUUUUCCUUGCUGAAUCUGUGAUAGCUGUUGAUCUUGAGGCCCAUUUAUACAGAUCCUUUCAAGGCACAACAUGUUUGAUGCAAAUUUCAACUACCAAAACUGACUUCAUCAUUGAUACUUCAAAACUAUGGGAAUGGGAUCAACUACAGCUUUUGAAAGAAGUUUUCUGCAAUCCAAUGAUUGUCAAGAAUUUUCAUGGAGCUAAUAUGGAAAUUCAGUGGCUUCAGCGUGAUUUCGGUAUUUACGUGGUCAAUCUGUUCGACACCUACCUCGCUGCAAAACGACUCGGCUUUGCUAAACUUUCAUUGUCCUUCCUCCUCAUCUGCCAAGUUAACGCUGACAAACGAUAGCCGACUGGCGUAUUCGUCCCUUGACCGAACAGAUGGCCCACUAGGCCACUAUGCUCGGCAAGACACUCUUGGUUAUGAAAUGAUGAAAAUGGAUUUGAAGAAGGUCCAACGGAAAAACCAUUACAACCAUAACUAAUGUCUACAGGAAAAAAUUUGCUGACAGAAGUUUGGCAAAUGAGCCGACUGGUUUGCUUCAAGCGCUACCGAAUUCCCCAAGUCACCACAACAGAUUAAGAACCAUCGACAAUCAUUCAGUACUCUCUUUUAAAUAACUAACUUUCUGAAAAAUUCAAGCUUACAAAAU